rnacentral:tRNA from 1 species
CGCGGGGUAGAGCAGUUGGUAGCUCGUCGGGCUCAUAACCCGGAGGUCGUUGGUUCAAGUCCAGCCCCCGCAA